GCCAGAGUGGCAUAGUGGUUUGAGUGUUGGACUAUGAUUCUGGAGAACAGGGUUUGAUUCUCAGCUUGGCCA